GCGUCGGUAGUGCAACGGUCCAGCACACGCUCCCGGAAAGAGUGAAGUCUGGGUUCUAGUUCCAGCUGACGUG